ensembl:lncRNA
UAAAAGUAGGACAAAGUCGGAAGCUUUAAGUUAUAGUCAUGCCAGGUUGUGGAGUUCUUCCUUGGACUGUCAACUCUUCUUUGUGUGGAAUUAUGUUUUACAAGUUUUUGGAACAACAGAAGAACCCAAUACAGACCUUUAUUAGCCUUUUUUGCUAGGUAUGGGCCAUAGACAGUCUAUGGUAUGAACGCUAGCUAAUGAAGUAGCAUAUUAAGCUAUACGCAUAGCCUGUAUGGAAUGAAUGGGCAGUUGACCACCGCUUACCGAACAAAGCUUACCGAGUGGAGUGAAAACCAGAUAUCGCUCUGAACUGCCAGGUUCCUUUCGCCACUUUGAAGGUGUAGGACAGGACAGGGAGUUUCUGGUGCCACGAGGUUUCCAUGAAAGCCCGGACGUCACCUCCAUGGUCACAAGCUGACAGGCGAAGGUCACAUCUGGAGCAGGCCAGCUCAAAGCUUUUCUCUCCAUUUUUCUUUGAUUCCUUCAAAGUCCCAAAACUGGACGAACACUCCUUGUUUCUAGAUGCUGUGAACUAUAGAAAGCUGUAAAAGACCCACAGAUGGCUAGUGAAACCUCUCCUGGAUCUGCAAGUCUUCCUGAAGGUCACCAGAUCUCAAUCCAAUAGAGCACCUUUGGGAUGCGGAAUGGGAGAUACAGAUCAUAGAUGUGCAGCCGACAGAUCUGCAGCAACUUCCAACACCUUGC